CCGGCACGGGUGAGUAACACGUAUCCAACCUGCCGUCUACUCUUGGACAGCCUUCUGAAAGGAAGAUUAAUACAAGAUGGCAUCAUGAGUCCGCAUGUUCACAUGAUUAAAGGUAUUCCGGUAGACGAUGGGGAUGCGUCCCAUUAGACAGUAGGCGGGGUAACGGCCCACCUAGUCUUCGAUGGAUAGGGGUUCUGAGAGGAAGGUCCCCCACAUUGGAACUGAGACACGGUCCAA
rnacentral:rRNA from 1 species